AUGCCAUGCAAUAUUAGGUUGUUUGCAUUAGAAUUCACGAAUAUGUUGCAUUGCAUACUUUGUUGUUGAUGUGGAUGAAUGUUGAAUGAUCCAUUAGCCCUUGUAUGUCAUGAUAGCCUAUGUGAGUCCAGGUGUGCCUGCUACGGCUCUACGCCCCUGGCACUAUGAUUGAUUAUGGAAGUCCGGGUGUGCCUGCUACGGCUCUACGCCCCCGGCAUGUAUAAGUAAGAAAGAUUGGGGCUAAAUGGUGACAAGUUCAUCCUUGUUGUGAAAUGUUUGUGUUAUGGCGCAUACAUGAAAGCAUGAAUAAGAAAAAGUUUAAUGAUAAUAAUAAUAAUAAAAUGAAUAAUAAUAUACCUAAAAAUGGUGGAAUUAAACAAAUGUUUUUAGUUUCUGCUCACUGGGCUCUAGUAGCUCACCCCACUCCCUUUAUCCCCAGAGUUGCAGGUACAGGUUAGAUCGAGAAGUCGGCUAGAGUGAAGUCAAGCCUUGUAUGUUGUAAUAGAU
rnacentral:lncRNA from 1 species